GGUGCCUUAGCUUAGUUGGUAGAGCAUUACUCUCAUGAAGUAAGGGUCGCUAGUUCGAGUCUAGCAGGCACCA
rnacentral:tRNA from 1 species